rnacentral:rRNA from 1 species
UACAGAGGUUCCAAGCGUUGUUCGGAUUCACUGGGCGUAAAGGGUGCGUAGGUGGUCGGGUAAGUCUGAUGUGAAAUCUCCGAGCCUAACUCGGAAACUGCAUCGGAUACUAUUCGGCUUGAGGGCUGGAGGGGGGACUGGAAUACUUGGUGUAGCAGUGAAAUGCGUAGAUAUCAAGUGGAACACCAGUGGCGAAGGCGAGUCCCUGGACAACUCCUGACACUGAGGCACGAAAGCUAGGGGAGCAAACAGG